rnacentral:rRNA from 1 species
GAAUUCGAUUCAGGCCUAACACAUGCAAGUCGAACGGCAGCACGGGUGCUUGCACCUGGUGGCGAGUGGCGAACGGGUGAGUAAUAUAUCGGAACGUACCUUAUUGUGGGGGAUAACGCAGCGAAAGCUGUGCUAAUACCGCAUAAUCCCUUAGGGGGAAAGCGGGGGACCGUAAGGCCUCGCGCAAUUAGAGCGGCCGAUACCUGAUUAGCUAGUUGGUGAGGUAGAGGCUCACCAAGGCGACGAUCAGUAGCUGGUCUGAGAGGACGAUCAGCCACACUGGGACUGAGACACGGCCCAGACUCCUACGGGAGGCAGCAGUGGGGAAUUUUGGACAAUGGGGGCAACCCUGAUCCAACAAGUGCCGCGUGAGUGAAGAAGGCCUUCGGGUGUAAAUUAAUGGGUCAGGGAAGAAACAGCAGCUCUAACACAG